rnacentral:rRNA from 1 species
AUGUUGAGACUGAUGGUGUAUGGGAGGUUGACACCGCACUUGGGGGGGAUGCUGCGGGCGUUGUCCUCGUUGAGAUUGUGGAUGCCACGAGCGAUCCCCUUGAGGCAGUUGCAAGCGCUUUGGCGAUCGCUCUGGGAUCGCGCCUGGUUAUGGAGGUUCUUGACGCCGUCGCAGCACUGCCCAGACGGGCCGGGGCCGCCCUGA